CUGAAACUUUAUUUAUUGAUUUAUUUACUAACCACAAGUUGUAACAUCCAUUUUGUUAAUAAACCAACCACUUGGAACUGUACUUGGACCGCUUUGGAUUUCAUUUAUUUUCACAACACAAGCGUCAAAGAACCCCCAGUCAACGCCACCAACGUGACUUAACAAAGGGACACUCAGGAUAAAUGGUCACUAUAUUAGUCAAAAGCUAGCUAUUAGUCAAAACCUCGCUAUUGGAUCUGGAUAACCCUGUGGAUUACGAGGAUUGGAAUUCGAAAACCACGCCAGGAACAGGCCGCAAAGGAACAAAGGAAAGCCGACAAACAAAUCCCGAAAAUGCGGUAGGCCUCUAUACUUCAAAAAGUUAAAGUUGUACUUGGACAAAGAGCUCUAGGAGCCGAAGAUUGUAUUAAUUAUUUAGAUAAUAUUUUUGUUCGAAUUAUGGAUUGCAUUUGAAUCAAUCAGACUUUAAGUUACUAAAAGAAAGUUUAAGCGCUGCUUGUUAAUUGAUGCGCAUGCGAAGAUUAUUCCCUUUUUGUUACACAAUGGCUGAUGAAACCAGUAAGCCCGAAGGCACAAAUGUGCAAACUGAUUUGGAUGAAAAUGAAACCGCAAAAGAUUUGCGUAAAUCCAGAAAGAUAAAACUCGGAAUGCUUACACGCAAGAUGAACGUUAUCAAAGAACUGAUGACUGUUCCGUCAAAUGUAAAACAAGUGAUGGAAAAUAUAGCACGAUAUGAUGACUUAUUGGGUGAAUUUAAAGCUAGUCAUAAGGAGUAUCAGCAUGUAUUGUCGGAAAAGGAACGCGAAUCUGAUGAUGCAUUGUGGUAUGAACCUAAAAGAAAGAUUAAUGAAUCGUUCAUGUUGGAAGCGAAUGCAUGGCUAGGUGAACACGAAAGGCGUGAUGAUGAUGAUGAUGGAGAGGACAUAAGUCCAGAAGACAGUGUUUCUGCAAGUCAUGCAAGGAAAGCAGACGACGGGGGAUCAAAGGUCUCUUCAACCUCCUCCACGUUGAGUCGCGCAGCAGCAGAGAAGGCUGCGCUAGAAGUUAGAUUGGCGGCUCUUAAAGAAAAGCACGCCAUAGAAAGCGAGUAAGCAGAAUUGGCUCAAAGACAAGAAAAACUGAGAAAACAAAAGGAAACGUUAGCUGUCCAAAGCGAAUUAGAUGCAGCUAAUGCCAAACUCGAGUGAUAGAAAAAGUGGUGUUUCACAGAGAGAUGGAAUGAAUGAGCAUUUUGAGAAAACACUCAAAUUACAAGGGACAAAAGAAUUUAUUGGAAAGGAAUAUGAUAAACCAAAAGUGGAAAAGGGGCAUACCAAAGGAAUGCAAGAUGCGAGUGUUAGACUUAAAUCACAUGCCCUCCCCCCUCAACCAAUGCAACUUCAUGCCAUAAAAGAGCCGUAUUUCCUUCCAUCUGUGCGGCCCCCCCCUCUGGCCAGAUACAUCUCUGUACAGAUCCUCUGCCCAACCAAGUCAAUGACAACCCCAGCCACAACCCCAUACUUGGGAGCCUUCACGCCUUAGUAGAUCCUCUCAUCAAACACAGCCCUGUCAAACCACGCUGCACCCCCAGGGUCCAUCACAGCCCCACUCAGAGCGACAGUCCCAAGGUGAUGCACCUAGGGCCUCUCCUGGAGAACAAGACACUGUUCAUCUCUAUGACAUUCUGCAGAGGCAAAACGACAUCACAGCAUCUUUGAUAAGGCAACAGGACAAAU
rnacentral:lncRNA from 1 species